AUUUAAGUAGCUUAAGAAAAGCAUAGUAUUGAAGAUACUAGGAUAAUUUUUAAAUUUUUAAAUA
rnacentral:tRNA from 1 species